UACCAAGUCUUGACAUCGGAAUGACCGGGAUGUAACGAUCCCUUCCCUACGGGGCAUUCCAGACAGGUGGUGCAUGGUUGUCGUCAGCUCGUGUCGUGAGAUGUUGGGUUAAGUCCCGCAACGAGCGCAACCCUUAUCCUUAGUAGCCAGCAAGUCAAGUUGGGCACUCUGGGGAGACUGCCAGGGAUAACCUGGAGGAAGGUGGGGAUGACGUCAAAUCAUCAUGCCCCUUAUGAUUUGGGCUACACACGUGCUACAAUGGCGUAAACAAAGGGAGGCAAAGGAGCGAUCUGGAGCAAACCCCAAAAAUAACGUCUCAGUUCGGAUUGUAGUCUGCAACUCGACUACAUGAAGCUGGAAUCGCUAGUAAUCGCGGAUCAGAAUGCCGCGGUGAAUACGUUCCCGGGU
rnacentral:rRNA from 1 species